UACCAGCACCCCGAGUGGUCGGGACGUUUAUUGGGCCUAAAGCAUCCGUAGCCGGUUCUACAAGUCUUCCGUUAAAUCCAACUGCUUAACAGGUGGGCUGCGGAAGAUACUAUAGAGCUAGGAGGCGGGAGAGGCAAGCGGUACUCGAUGGGUAGGGGUAAAAUCCGUUGAUCCAUUGAAGACCACCAGUGGCGAAGGCGGCUCUCUGGGCCCUACCUGACGCUGAGACGCGAAAGCGUGGGGAGCGAACCGG
rnacentral:rRNA from 1 species